GACGAACGCUGGCGGCGCGCCUAAAACAUGCAAGUCGAACGUGAAGCCCGGGCUUGCCCGGGUGGAAAGUGGCGAACGGGUGAGUAACACGUGAGGAACCUGCCCCGAAGACCGGGAUAACACCGGGAAACCGGUGCUAAUACCGGAUGCCCCUCGCUUGAUCGCAUGGUCGAGCGAGGAAAUGGAUUCCGCUUCGGGAUGGCCUCGCGGCCUAUCAGCUUGUUGGUGAGGUAACGGCUCACCAAGGCGACGACGGGUAGCUGGUCUGAG
rnacentral:rRNA from 1 species